GACGUAGGGCGCGAGCGUUGUCCGGAUUUAUUGGGCGUAAAGAGCUCGUAAGCGGUCUGUCGCGUCUGCUGUGAAAACUCAGGGCUUAACCCUGAGCUUGCAGUGGGUACGGGCAGACUAGAGUGCGGUAGGGGAGACUGGAAUUCCUGGUGUAGCGGUGAAAUGCGUAGAGAUCGGGAAGAACACCAGUGGCGAAGGCGGUCUGCUGGGCCGUUGCUGACGCUGGAGGCGCGACAGCGUGGGGAGCGAACGGG
rnacentral:rRNA from 1 species